AUCCUAGAGAUGUCUUUACUUGUUUUCUACUCUACUCUCUUUCACUGUAUCUCAGAUUAAUCUANANUUUCUAUAUAAAUAUUGAGAACCUAAGAGAGACUUGCACAAGCUUCUCUAAGAUAUCUGCUCUCUCUUUUUUUUUUUCUCAAAUACAUACAAGUGCUUAUUUGGUGGAGCAGUUUCAUGUGCUUAGAAUAGAGAAGCCUUUAAUUUAAACCUGAAUAAAAAAAAUAAAUAGCUAUAAGUGCAGCAGACAAUCUUUUUAUUGGUAUUCAAUGUUUCAUUAAAUUUAUCAUACANCAAAUAUAAUAAAAACCACAAAGCAAUUAGAUAAACUUACUGGUGCACGUAUAGCAAUUUUUCCCACAGACAAGUUUAGAUCUGGCAGUUCCCGGAUGCAAUUUUUAUCUUUUGACUGACCUGUGUUUUCUACAUUGUCAAGACUACUUGAGGAUUUCCCAGGUUGGGAUUUUGAAUGUGCAGAUAAAUUUUCAGAACACGGGUGAUAAAUUAACUAUUCUGUUCUUAUUAAUGUUUUUCAGAACAGGAAGUUCCAGCAGUUUCAAGCCCNACAAUUUGUAAUCAUCGAAGUAUGCCGUAGUCUGUUUUGAUUGGAGAGCAUUUUUGUUUUAGGGUCUUUCAUUUUGUUAUUAGUAAUGCUUUNCNGUGUAUUAGUAUCUUUCUCUUGUUAUUGUGAAUACUUCUAAUUUGUCUGAUAUGAUCGAAACCUUGCUGACUGAGGCUCGUUAUCAGCUGUAACAUGAAUACCUGUCCCACCUGGGGAAUUCAUCCAGACAUGUUGCUUUGAGGGAAAAGUCUAUAACUGACAUUUUUAUUUUGUAUACUUCAAAGUUCGGAGCAGCUUUCUCUCGAGAAAUUGUGACCGCUCUGCAUGAUCUUGUAUAACGUCUACAACAACAUUUGUCUUCAUAAUGUUCACUAGGUACGCCAACGUUAUUUGAGGAACUGAGCAUAUUUUUCACAGGAUUCUUUGAUAUAUCUUUUCGGCGCCUUUGUUUAUUUGAUACAUGACCAUCAAUAUUUUCUUUGAUACAUGACCAAACAAUUCUGCCACAUUGUAGAAAUCAGCAUUUACAGUAUAUAAUUGUGUGCCAACAGUUUUUCCUUGAUUAAUCUCUGGCACAGAGACUGUCAUUUUCCCAGGAAUAGGAUCUCUUGCUGCUACAACAAUACAAUGUCUUGUCCCAUUAUAGUAUUCUUCUGUUGUCAUGAAAUUAGAAGGCCUUGGAAACAUCUCCUUUAUACAACAAUACAAUAUCAUGUUUUUAUUCAUUAGUAUGCAGUGCCUAUUUGUUUUAUGGUAUGCUUGGAUCGAUGUGUGUUUGGUUACAUGAUUCAGAUGAAUUGUACAAUUAUUGGAAUACUAUGCAAUAAUGUCCAAUGAAAAUGGAAUUUAGUUAGUGCUUUGGCUUUUGGUAUCUGUCUGUGUCAUAGUUAGCUUUAUUGGUUGUUGCAAUAAGAUUUAUAUGCAUAGUGUGAGAAGUAUUGGUCCAUUGCAUUUUAUAU